rnacentral:rRNA from 1 species
UACGUAGGAGGCAAGCGUUGUCCGGAAUCACUGGGCGUAAAGGGCGCGUAGGCGGCUUGAUAAGCGUGCGGUGAAAGCCCGGGGCUCAACCCCGGGUCGGCCGUGCGAACUGUCGAGCUGGAGCACUGUAGAGGCAGGUGGAAUUCCGGGUGUAGCGGUGGAAUGCGUAGAGAUCCGGAAGAACACCGGUGGCGAAGGCGGCCUGCUGGGCAGUGGCUGACGCUGAGGCGCGACAGCGUGGGGAGCAAACAGG